AACGAACGCUGGCGGCAGGCUUAACACAUGCAAGUCGAACGCAUCGCAAGAUGAGUGGCAGACGGGUGAGUAACGCGUGGGAACAUACCCUUUUCUACGGAAUAGCUCUGGGAAACUGGAAUUAAUACCGUAUACGCUCUACGGGGGAAAGAUUUAUCGGGGAAGGAUUGGCCCGCGUUGGAUUAGCUAGUUGGUGGGGUAAAGGCCUACCAAGGCGACGAUCCAUAGCUGGUCUGAGAGGAUGAUCAGCCACAUUGGGACUGAGACACGGCCCAAACUCCUACGGGAGGCAGCAGUGGGGAAUGUUGGACAAUGGGCGCAAGCCUGAUCCAGCCAUGCCGCGUGAGUGAUGAAGGCCUUAGGGUUGUAAAGCUCUUUCACCGAUGAAGAUAAUGACGGUAGUCGGAGAAGAAGCCCCGGCUAACUUCGUGCCAGCCGCCGCGGUAAAAC
rnacentral:rRNA from 1 species